AGCCACUGCUAUUGGGAUUCGGCUAAGCCAUGCAAGCGGAGGGCGCGGUCGAAAGAUCGUGGCCCCGCACACUGCUCAGUAACACGUAGUCAACCUACCCUUGGGACGGGGACAACCUCGGGAAACUGAGGCUAAUACCCGAUAGGUGAGGGACGCUGGGAUGCCUCCUCGCCCAAAGCUCCGGCGCCCAAGGAUGGGACUGCGGUCUAUCAGGCUGUUGGUGGUGUAACGGACCACCAAACCUACGACGGGUACGGGCGAUGGGAGUCGGAGCCCGGAGAUGGGGACUGAGACAAGGCCCCAGGCCCUACGGGGCGCAGCAGGCGCGAAAACUCCGCAAUGCGCGCAAGCGUGACGGGGGGAUCCCAAGUGCCGUUGGUCUUUCGAUCGACGGUUUUUAGGAAGUCUAAGAAGCUUCCAGAAUAAGGGCUGGGCAAGACUGGUGCCAGCCGCCGCGGUAACACCAGCAGCCCAAGUGGUGGCCACGAUUAUUGGGCCUAAAGCGCUCGUAGCCGGAUCAGCAAGUCCCUUGUGAAAUCGGGCCGCCUAACGGUUCGGCGUGCAAGGGAUACUGUUGGUCUUGAGGCCGGGAGAGGUCGGAGGUACUCCUGGGGUAGCGGUGAAAUGCUCUAAUCCUAGGGGGACCACCAGUGGCGAAGGCGUCCGACCAGAACGGACCUGACGGUGAGGGGCGAAGGCUAGGGGAGCGAACGGGAUUAGAUACCCCGGUAGUCCUAGCUGUAAAGCAUGCGGGCCAGGCGUCUAGCGCUCCUUGAGGGCACUAGGUGCCGGAGGGAAGCCGUUAAGCCCGCCGCCUGGGAAGUACGGCCGCAAGGCUGAAACUUAAAGAAAUUGGCGGGGGAGCACCACAAGAGGUGGGACCUGCGGUUC
rnacentral:rRNA from 1 species